GCCCCUGUGGCGGAACUGGUAGACGCGACAGACUCAAAAUCUGUUGGCCUUCGGGCCGUGCCCGUUCGAGUCGGGCCAGGGGCACCA
rnacentral:tRNA from 1 species